GCCAAGUGGGAUUAGGUAGUUGGUGGGGUAAAGGCCUACCAAGCCGACGAUCUCUAGCUGGUCUGAGAGGAUGACCAGCCACACUGGAACUGAGACACGGUCCAGACUCCUACGGGAGGCAGCAGUGGGGAAUAUUGCACAAUGGGGGGAACCCUGAUGCAGCCAUGCCGCGUGAAUGAAGAAGGCCUUCGGGUUGUAAAGUUCUUUCGGUGAUGAGGAAGGGUGGUGUUUUAAUAGAGCACUACAUUGACGUUAGUCACAGAAGAAGCACCGGCUAACUCCGUGCCAGCAGCCGCGGUAAUACGGAGGGUGCGAGCGUUAAUCGGAAUGACUGGGCGUAAAGGGCACGCAGGCGGUGACUUAAGUGAGAUGUGAAAGCCCCGAGCUUAACUUGGGAAUUGCAUUUCAUACUGGGUUGCUAGAGUAUUUUAGGGAGGGGUAGAAUUCCACGUGUAGCGGUGAAAUGCGUAGAGAUGUGGAGGAAUACCGAAGGCGAAGGCAGCCCCUUGGGAAAAUACUGACGCUCAUGUGCGAAAGCGUGGGGAGCAAACAGGAUUAGAUACCCUGGUAGUCCACGCUGUAAACGCUGUCGAUUUGGGGAUUGGGCUUAGAGCUUGGUGCCCGUAGCUAACGUGAUAAAUCGACCGCCUGGGGAGUACGGCCGCAAGGUUAAAACUCAAAUGAAUUGACGGGGGCCCGCACAAGCGGUGGAGCAUGUGGUUUAAUUCGAUGCAACGCGAAGAACCUUACCUACUCUUGACAUCCUAAGAAGAACUCAGAGAUGAGUUUGUGCCUUCGGGAACUUAGAGACAGGUGCUGCAUGGCUGUCGUCAGCUCGUGUUGUGAAAUGUUGGGUUAAGUCCCGCAACGAGCGCAACCCUUAUCCUUUGUUGCCAGCGAUUCGGUCGGGAACUCAAAGGAGACUGCCAGUGAUAAACUGGAGGAAGGUGGGGAUGACGUCAAGUCAUCAUGGCCCUACGAGUAGGGCUAC
rnacentral:rRNA from 1 species